rnacentral:rRNA from 1 species
GACGAACGCUGGCGGCGUGCUUAACACAUGCAAGUCGAACGAAGAGCGAUGGAAGCUUGCUUCUAUCAAUCUUAGUGGCGAACGGGUGAGUAACGCGUAAUCAACCUGCCCUUCAGAGGGGGACAACAGUUGGAAACGACUGCUAAUACCGCAUACGAUCUAAUCUCGGCAUCGAGGAUAGAUGAAAGGUGGCCUCUACAUGUAAGCUAUCACUGAAGGAGGGGAUUGCGUCUGAUUAGCUAGUUGGAGGGGUAACGGCCCACCAAGGCGAUGAUCAGUAGCCGGUCUGAGAGGAUGAACGGCCACAGUGGGACUGAGACACGGCCCAGACUCCUACGGGAGGCAGCAAUGGGGAAUCUUCCGCAAUGGACGAAAGUCUGACGGAGCAACGCCGCGUGAGUGAUGACGGCCUUCGGGUUGUAAAGCUCUGUUAAUCGGGACGAAAGGCCUUCUUGCGAACAGUUAGAAGGAUUGACGGUACCGGAAUAGAAAGCCACGGCUAACUACGUG